GCCAUGACGACACUUCUUUACUGAUAUCGCCAUUGUUGUGAUAAUCAUAUUGCUGUCAUCUUACUACCAUUUUGCUGCUGUUUGCCUGGUAUUUAGCCCUCCUUCGUCUGUGUACACGAUGAACUCCUACGCCCAAGCUGUUGACCUCGUGAUCAGGUUCCCCUUGAACUUUGACAUCUGGGCCCCUCCUCGUCAAGUUGACGAUCUGAAGGUUGCCUCUCCGCUCGCUAGUGAUGUCUCACUGAGCAGCCUUCGUCUCCAUCUGUAUCGCGCCUGUUAUAAACAAGUAUCAGUGAAACGUAAUAAAAUUCUUCUGUGAAUGUUAA